rnacentral:tRNA from 1 species
GCGGGUAUAGCUCAAUGGUAGAGUGUCAGCUUCCCAAGCUGAAAGUUGCGGGUUCAAAUCCCGUUGCCCGCU